GAAGGAUGAUAAAGGACGGAGAAAGUCAGCAUUUGCCAUUGCAAUGAAACACGUAAAACAUACAAUCUUCGGGUGAAGCCAAGCUAAAGCUGCACUGCGCGCAAGCUCCCACAAAGUGGAGCAAGAGAACACGCACGGCCGCUGGCAGCCAUGAAGGGAAAAGGCACUCUGAUGGCUUUUUGGGCCCCCUUGUUUGCGCGGUGAGGACUGGCUACUUUGAAAAGGCGCAUGCUGUAACUGUUGGCAGUAUUGGUGGCAACUCAGGGGUGUAUGUGUUGUGAACACCCAGACGGGAGCAUGUGUGUCAGUGUGGCUGGCCCGGAUACAGAGCUCUGUUGAUAAGCGGGAUUAGCGGGAGGGGACAGAUGACGAGACGAAAUAGGCUGGAGGUCACACCUCCGCCUGGCCGGGCUCACUCUGCGGACAAACAAAGGCUCCGGCCCGUGCGAUCUAGACGGAGAACAUCGAGUGAUCGAGAUGCACUCGCGUGGGAGCCAACUGCCACCUCCGGGCCUGAACAAUCGCAAGACAACCACCCCGACCUGAGUGUCAGUCGCGUCUACCUCUUGACAUUUCCACUGUUCGAUGGCAGGGUGAAACGACCCAUUGAACUGAUUGUUCAAACAAGGGACGGGGCGGCUUGCCAACAACAACCACCAAACGUCAGACUAGCCCUUUCCUUCGCAUUAACAAAUAGCAGCUCUGUGUUUAUGAGCAACUCGCUUGACUCCCACUUCAUCCAGAGGCUCGCUUCCUGUCUCUGGAGCGCACAUGACGGCUCAACGAGAGUCAAGACGGACAAAAGGCGGCAGCGAGAGAACAAGGGGGGGGUCGGGGAGAAAAAGAGAAAACAAGUACAGUACACCAGCAUUCCUGACUAAAUCUGAGCUUUGAGUGCCUCUGUGUGCGCCUCCCACUUCCCUUACAGGAACUGUCCGUCACCCUUGGAGUCAAGCGUCCAAGAAAAAGAAAGGGGGGAAAAAAAAUAAAGCGCCACUCUUUCCUUUGCCCAGUCGCCCCACCCAGCCGGAUUUCUUUCCCUCCUCUGUGCACUUCCUCAAUAAACUAGAGACGCAGAGUGGAAGCGAAAGGAGCGGGGCCGAGGACUGACGGCGACCGUCUGACAGUGACGCUAAACAGCCGCGACCUCGCGUGGACUCUGGGUGGCGACGUUGAGCUCACGCACAGCGUAAACCAAUCUGAGAGUGAGGGGACACAGUAGCUUCAUUGUGUGCAGAAGAAGACGAUGAAGACGUGUUUUUUUUUUUUCCCAGCCUCACAAGGGAAACCCAGACUCAGCCGCCUCCUCUGCAUGUUUUCAUUGUGGUUCCUGCAGCUAGCUUCUCUGAAGAUGUUUUUUUUUUUUUUUUUUUUUGAUAAGGGGGAAAAUUACAAAUUCCCCCCCGCCUCCUUCUCACUGCCAAACAGCAAACAGAUGUGCCUUGACACCAUCCUGGUAGGCGGUUGCAGUGACUCAGCUAGCUAGCGAGCAGAAUCAAACACACACAAAGUAUGACCCGGAUGGAAUGUUUCCACCGUGGCCACAAUGACACACAUCCAGCCAGCUCUUUGUAAAUAUCGCUGCAAGUGUGCACCAAACAUGGGCGGGGGCAUGUGUAUGUAUCCUGUACUAAACCAUCCGCAUUAACUGAAACCCCCUUAAAAAAGCGUUUAGGAGGACAAUGACAGAUAUGUCGUAUUGUUUGUGCUCGCCUACCUCGGAAAUGGCGAACAGGCCAAGAGCACUUCCGUGGCCUGGCGGGGAAGCAAAUUACAAAAACCAAUGACAAUCUCAAGUAUCGCAUUUAAAAGCGUUUCAACGUUUUUAUGGCAGAUUUGAGUGAAACAAAAUGACAAAUGCUUGUCGUAUCAACGACAAUGUCAAUAGCUCCUUUAGAGAAAGGAGAAAGAGAAGAAGUAGGGACUAUGGGCUUACAGCAGUUUGUGUCAAAAAAAAAAAAAAAAAAGGCUUCUACAGGUCUCCACAGGUCCCCUUGCUGCAGUCAUUUAUGACCCAUUCCGCGCAGUGGUGUUACGCCACCGACAUCAAUGCCGAAGCCUGUUUAAAAAUCCGCUACCCGGAACCGCUCUUGCCACCGAGGAGGCUGCCAGGCCUCGGCGGAGGUCCGCCCUCCUGUUAAAAAGAGUGAUCUGUUACAGGGCAGCCAGUGGCACAAAAACAGGUCACCUGAGCCUAGCCUCCUCCACCCAUCUGGGAGAUCACGUGAGCGUGUGGAGCUGAACAGGAGCCGGGCGCAUUUGUCUUGUGUGGGUCUCUCGGGGUGCGGGUACCACAUGAGUGAGAUCACUCGUGAGUAGGUGGGGGGUGAGAGUAGUGCCACACACAUAUGCACGCACGGGCCCUACAUGGUGAGAUCUGCUGGGCGACAACGCUUCACCUAAACAGACGUGAGACCAUUUUGUUCAGUUGAAAAGACAAAUGCACCCCAAGCGCACACAGACAGGCCUCUGUUUGACCGUGACAAAUUCGCGAUAAACCUCCAGAGAGAAGCCUCGUCUCUGUGCUUCUCUCCAGUCGUAGAGAGGAAUAAUAAUGGAUUUAUCCUCUGAUGGACGCCUUUGUCGCAAGGAGAACUGUCGUCUCCAAAGCAACCAAAGGUCUCCAGCCAAAAGGCAACACAAGAUGAAACGUCCUGUCACAAGUCUGAAUUAUAACUAAAAUAACUCCUUUGGCCUAAUUAUGCUUCUAUGGGUUCAUUUUAAACGGAUCGUGUAUUAUAUUUAAAGAAGAGAGAAGAAGAAGAAGAAAAAGAAAAAAAGAUCCAAUUGGACACUGGGUCGAAUUUGGCGGUUGGCUGGUGUCGAAAACGCGGGAGGCUUGCCCGGCAACCAAUCGGUGUCGCUCAGGCCCGUCUUAUCAUACGUGUCGUAUAUAUGCGCAUAGGCGGCGUGUACGCACAUAUACACAGUACAAGGGCUCGACGUGUACUGUAUGCAUAGUUACAUAAAGUCGGGCUCAACGGGGGGUUAGGCCGUCGUCAAGAGGCUAUCGCAAAACGAUCAGAACAUCAGAGCAGCAGGCUUAAGAAAAUCCAACAGCAAUUGGGAAACCUACCGCCAGUGACCAUCCCGCACAGUCAUCAGACACAACACAGAUAAGGAGGACAUAGAAGGAAGAAACACAAAUUAAAACAAAACACACGCAGGAGUCAACAGGAGCAACACCCCGAGAAAUGACGGUGGCCCCUCCAAGCCCGCCCUCCGCGGAGUAGAACCCAGCGUAAAGUCACAAUAAACCGGACGCUUCGAAAAAACAUCGCCAGCGAUGGGGGGGUUAGCGCGCUAACUGUUCGCAUUCAAAGUCGGAUCGGAGCGCCUCCCGUUUUGUCAUUUCUCGGGGCGCGUGCCGCUUCAUGAGCUCCUCAUGAGACAAACCCAUAAAAGAUCACAAAAAUCUGAACGUCAUUACGAUUUUAAAUAAUAAUCAUCA